ncrna:Caenorhabditis briggsae microRNA cbr-mir-230 precursor
CUUACCGAUACUUGGUCGACAAUUUAAUAGUAUCUGAUUAAUUGAUGGAUAGUAUUAGUUGUGCGACCAGGAAAUGGUAUGA